rnacentral:rRNA from 1 species
AGAGUUUGAUCCUGGCUCAGGACGAACGCUGGCGGCGUGCCUAAUACAUGCAAGUCGAGCGGACAGAUAAGGAGCUUGCUCCUUUGACGUUAGCGGCGGACGGGUGAGUAACACGUGGGCAACCUACCCUAUAGUUUGGGAUAACUCCGGGAAACCGGGGCUAAUACCGAAUAACCUGUUUCACCUCAUGGUGAAAUACU